ACUCACUUCUGAUACAGAAAAAGCUUUUCAGUCGCCGAGUUUCUCCCUGCAGCGUCGGUAAUGUUCACGUUCAUGUCGGCGUGUGUGAUUAUUUACUCUGUGCCUGUGUGACUGUGACAGAGCAUCUCCACUCAGAUCUCUGCCCAUUUGGUCAGAGGUGCAUGUGCAGCAGCAGUUGUUGCUGAAUGGCUCAGCUGUCCGUUGGAUCGCUUCACGUGCCGCAGCAGCAGCAGAUUAUUUAAAACCCGGAGAGAGCCGUGUUACCGUGCAGCACCAGCCAGCCUUUCUGGCUUCCACAGAGUAAAGAUGGCCGUCAUCACUAUGCUGCUCACAGCUCUUCAGCUAAAAUUAGAGCGGACAUGAAGGCAAGCAGAGAGACACCCAGGAGGCAGAAGCAGCAAACCUUCGUUCAUCUCUGAUAUUAAACUUCUGAAGAAGUUGGCGCCUUUCCCUGGCUUGCCAAAGGACGCAUUGUGAACCCUGGUUGAACUGAAACAGGCCUGGAUUCCCAGAAGCUGUAACGCUACACUGAGCUAAUCCUCAGUUAUCACAUCUUCUUCUUCAUCUUUGGCAGUAGCUUUGAAUUUCAGGCCCCAGCACCCAAAGAUGGUACUGCAGGAAGAACACCGGCCUGCAGACGCCACAUUGUGUCCGUUUAUCUUUUAAAAAGCCAAGCGGUGGCGCUGAUGCCUCGUCAUACCUCACUGCGGACCGCUGUGGCUCCGGGUCGCGGCAAGCCGUUAUCAACGAUCUGCUGAUUGUGCUGCUAUUUCUGCUGCUUCCCAGACCUGCAGGUUCAUCAUUAACAGUCCUGGGAGCAGCAAAGCGAUUGUUGCAUGUAUGCGUAUGUAUGCAUGAGACCAGACCAGGUGAUCCAGAAUCCAACCAACACCGACAUGAAUCCAUCUCAGCAGGUCACAGCCAGUAAUCAUUUUCUGCAGAGGCUGAUUAACAUGUAGCCAAGGUUUCACCAACUCAAACCUAAGACAUUUUAAGACCAUUACGAAUGGAUUUUAAGAUCUAUAUUUACAAAUUAAUGUAUGAACUUUCCAUCCAACUGGUGACAAAUCUGCAUUAUACAAUAGAUGCAAAAGAAGCUAGCUAUGGUACGCUAGCAGUUAGUCACAGAACGCAAUGAAGAUGUCUGAAUGUUGGCGAAAAGUUUAAGGAAAUAAAAUUCCAUUUUUCUUUCCAUUUCCUCUCUUUUUCCUCUU